rnacentral:misc_RNA from 1 species
GAACGCACCUUGCGCUCCUUGGUAUUCCGAGGCGCAUGCCUGUUUGAGUGUCAUUUGACUUAUCAAACCACCUCGUCUGCUUGGUGGCUUUGGAUGUGGGGGUCUUUGCAGGCUUUGAACAAAGGUCGGCUCCCCUGAAACGCAUUAGUGGCAUCUGAGCUGCUACUAUAGGUGUGAUAAAUUAUCUAUGCCUUUGGUACGCCGCAUGAACGGAUCGCGCUGCUCACAACGAAAAAAAUAACUUUGACAAACUUGACCUCAAAUCAGGUAGGACUACCCGCUGAACUUAAG